CAAAGCAAGGUUGAUAUUAUCCCAUUCAAGUUUGUUCAGCUCCAAGCUAACUUAACUCCAUCUCAACAUCAUCAGAGCAUAAAAACAACAAAUGUAAAUCAAAUGGCGCGUGGUCUCCCACGCCCCCAGGCUCCCUUAUGGCUGCACAGGCGCGUCGGCGGACGGAGUCUUCUACGUGAUUGGCGGGUUGAAGAUCGACGGGCCUCCCACGGGGGCGGCGGAUGCGCAGAUGUACAUGAGCUCGAUGGAUUUGUACGACGUGGAGGCGCGUGUCUGGUUGAGAAGCCGUGCGGUUCCCGGCGGAGGAUGCGUUAUAGCAGCGUGUGCAGCCGUGGGGUUUAUUUACGUUCUCACGAGUCACGCGGUUGAGAUGUCGUUCUGGAGAUUCGACGCGCGUCGAAGACACGGAGGGUUUGGCGAGUGGAGUAGGAUGAAGACGCCGUAGCUGGGGUUGGAGAUUCGACGCGCAUCGGAGACACGGAGUGUUUGGCGAGUGGAGUAGGAUGAAGACGCCGCAGCUGGCGCAGCCGUGGAAUAGGAUGAAGACGCUGUAGCUGGCGCAGCCGGUGAGGCUAGACGGGUCCAUCAAGUUCAGUCUGGUGGGUGUCGGAAACAAGGUGAUGUUGGCUUUAAUGAAGAACGGGAGAGUCUUGAGGGCAAGCGACGAAAGGUUUGUUUGGAUUUACGACACGGUGGCCGGAGACUGGAGCUG
rnacentral:lncRNA from 1 species